UACGGGGGGGGCAAGCGUUGUUCGGAAUUACUGGGCGUAAAGGGCGCGUAGGCGGCCCGCUAAGUCGAACGUGAAAUCCCCAGGCUCAACCUGGGAACUGCGUCCGAUACUGGCAGGCUUGAAUCCGGGAGAGGGAUGCGGAAUUCCAGGUGUAGCGGUGAAAUGCGUAGAUAUCUGGAGGAACACCGGUGGCGAAGGCGGCAUCCUGGACCGGUAUUGACGCUGAGGCGCGAAAGCCAGGGGAGCAAACGGG
rnacentral:rRNA from 1 species